rnacentral:rRNA from 1 species
ACUCCCUACGGGGAGGCAGCAGUGGGGAAUAUUGCACAAUGGGCGCAAGCCUGAUGCAGCCAUGCCGCGUGUGUGAAGAAAGGCCCUUCGGGUUGUAAAAGCACUUUCAGUCGUGAGGAAGGUAGUGUAGUUAAUAGCUGCAUUAUUUGACGUUAGCGACAGAAGAAGCACCGGCUAACUCCGUGCCAGCAGCCGCGGUAAUACGGAGGGUGCGAGCGUUAAUCGGAAUUACUGGGCGUAAAGCGCAUGCAGGUGGUUUGUUAAGUCAGAUGUGAAAGCCC